AUGGUGCUUGAUAUAAUUUGUUUGUUAUCAAAGGAACAAAAUUUUAUCACCAUACUAGAUAGUAAUGGGAACUACUCAUCUUCAAAAGGCAAUGCUCAUAGGUUAGCAAUCCAAACAAGAGGUGAAGAGCAGUACAACCAUUUCGGCAACACGAGCAUGCCAAAAUUGAGGUCAUGUUAUGCCAACAAGUGUCCUAGAAGUAUGAUGCCACCACUUUCAUGCUUUGAAGUGUUACGUGUUCUAGAUUUGAAAAACUGCAUAUCUAUAGAAAAUUGUGAUCUUGAGCAUAUUGGAAGGUUACAUCAGUUGAGAUACUUGAGUCUGGAGAGCACAAAUAUUAGUGAGCUCCCAAAAGAUAUAGGAGAUCUAAAGUUUCUGCAGACACUAGACUUGAGGAAGUGCAAGAUAAAAGAAUUGCCACAGAGUACUAGUUUGCUAAGGAAACUUAAGCGCCUGAGCGUUGACGAGACCACUAAGUGGACAUGUGUUCGUAUAACAGUGCCGAAUUGGAUAGGGAACCUGACAUCCCUGGAGGAGUUAUCAUUGAAAAUUAGUGGUGAAUUCUCUACCCUGGUUGAAGAACUCGGUAAGCUGACAGAGCUGAGGGUGCUGGACUGUCAUUUAAGGGGACCUCUGAAUGAUUGUUCCAAGAAAACUUUGGUGGAUUCUGUAUGCAAACUUGAGAAAAUCCAAAUCUUACGACUUAAGGGCCUGUGUGGGUGGUCGAAAUCCGAGGCAGAUAACUGGGAAGGGUACAAGCCCCCUCGGCAACUCCGUGAGUUGUACAUAUCGAUCGAGUUCAAUAGACUACCGGCAUGGAUUAAUUCCUCGCUGCUUCCAAACCUCUCCAAACUAAAAAUGUAUGUGUAUUCUAUGAAUGAGGGGGAUGUGGUCAACCUUGGGAGGUUGCCAGAGCUUCUUAAAUUGAAGUACAUCAGGAUACCGGAGGGCACGGAGUUCCCUGAUGGUGCGUUCCCCAAGUUGAGGAGCUGCGAGAUAGAUGCACCUUUCUAG
rnacentral:rRNA from 1 species